GGGGAAACUGAGGCUUGGAGAAAGAAAUUUUGUGAAAUACUAGAAGAGAGCACUUGAAGGAAGAAGGAUUCUUUUUGCUCGUGUGACAGAAAAGGUCGAGACGGCAACCCAGGCCAUCACUGACCAUCCGGCAGAGGUCAUCGGUCUCAGGAAAGAAGAUGGCCGGAGGAAUUGUAAAAUAUCUCUUACUGCUGAAGAACUGGUUUCGUAUGCCUGACUCAGAACAGCCGGGUUGCAUGUCGGCUUUGCACUUCUUGGAUAUGGAUGUAUGUGCUUAUGUGCACGGGAGUGCAGAUGUACAUGCUUUCUCCAGUUCGAUUAUACAAAGAUGCGUCAGAGGAACAAAAAUGACAGCAAGAACAAAAAUCAUUCUGCUUGGCUGGUCAUGUGCAAGUGAGUGACAGAUACAGCCAGGACCCUGAAUUUUGGAGAGGCUAACAGCAUCCGUCUCCUAGAUCCUCCCCACCCCGAAUCCUCCUCAAGCUCCCACUGACAAUCAGCUCCUGCCUUUGCCUUGCUUUAUCAUCUAACCAUAGCCUCUUCUUUAACAUGGGAAUCAUAAUAUUCAGUUCUCACAGAGCUGUGGUGAUUACAUCAGUGUGCACAGGGAAAGAGCUUACGUAGGACCUCGUCGGCAACCAUCGCUAUGCAAGUCGGGGCUAACGUGAUUCCCUUGUGAUGUUAAGAUGAGAAAUAAAUAAGAAAACAUU
rnacentral:lncRNA from 1 species